UCAUAUCAAAGGUUCAAAGUUGCAUGUAUUAAAGCUUGACCUUAUAUAAAUAAAGUGGAAAAGCGAUGUGUCCCAGAGCAACUGCCUGCUACUCACAUCAACAUUGAUACCCAAAACAAUGCAGUGCAUGUAUCCUCAGGGCUGUAGUCUUGGAUGGGACAGUACUUUACAUAUUUUAUAUUUCGGCAAAAGGUUUUUAGACACAGAUUCUCAAAUCUAUUUGGGUGCCUACUUCCCACUGAUUUCAGUAAGCAUACGUGCUAGGAAGCAUGCAAGACUAGUAACCAGCAAAAGGUCAUAGAGGAAGUUCUUGAACAAAGUCCAAAGAGGGCAUCUGCUGCCUGAAAAUGUAUUGCUGUCUUCACAGAGAGCUAUAUCUUAAGGCUGAUAAACAGUCCUAACUUGCAAAGAAGAGCACAGAAUUUGCAUGCAAUAAUACGGACACAGUGUGCCAAGCAAACAAAAUUAAACCCCUCUUUGUCAGGCUGCAAAAAGGUAAAUGGACAAAGCUCUCAUUCUCUUCCUUUUGAAUGUCUGAGAA